CCUUACAUUAUGAUGGAAAUCUAUACAUCGCAGCAACGUAUUAACUAUGUAUGUUAGAUGUAUUACAAGUUCCUCAGUUGUUCGCAGGUUAUUUGGAAGCAUCGUUUAUUGAGCGUCUGGGCGUCUUUACUGUACACUCACUGUUGAUGUGAUGGACAGUGGAUCUGAAUUCUGCCCAGCAACAUAUUCGCGCCACAGUCGAUAAAGGAAGGAAAAAAAGUUGCCAGUCUAUAAGGGUUAGGAUGGAUACUGCUUCGUCGCUGCUGUCAAACCCCAUGUGGAAGAUCAGAAAACGUGGGCAGGAGUUGGGAGAAAAGGCAAUGCAAAGAUGAAGGACAUCAUACCACAAUAAUAGUUGUGUGUAUAAGCCUGAUCAACAAGUGAAAAGAGUCAGAUAAGAGGACAGAGUUUGAAAACUGAUUUGACGACCACUGCUGAAUUGGCCUGCUCAGAGAAAGAGGCACUAAUGUUCCCAGAAAACAGGAAGCCAAAGAAGAAGACCUACACAGACUUUGAAAUGGAUCUCUCAAUUGCCAUGAUGACCAAGAUAUUCAACGGGGAAAUGUGGAAAGCUGCCAUAUUCCCAGUCAUUACUUUGCCAAAUCAUCUGUGCAGCACCGAGGAAUCCUACUUUCCUGAGUACGAAGCCGGCCAUCAAGGACUUCCCAGAGUGGCAACAGACUGGAGCAGAGGCUGUAGCAGGGACAGCCUUUUUUUUUUGCUACUGAAAUAAUUGACAUUAUGAUAGACAGUGGACAAUAUGGUGUGACAAUUAGUUUUUGUUCUCCAACAUGUACACACUGCUGUUGUGAAGCAAGGAUAUACAGCUCACGAGUGUGUAGUCAAAAGAGAGAAAUACUGUAUAUUUCAGCGACUCCUACAGAUUAAGAAAAUAAUGAAUUUUCUUAAUAAAUAAAUGUUAUUCUUGG